UUUAGAGUUUAUGGAGGUUUGAAUGCAUUUCACAGAAUUCUCCUCUGACUGAUCAAAGAUGGCUUUUUGGCUAAGCUUGGCAUUCUUGCUCACAAUUCACAGAGGUGUCCAAUCUGAAGCCCAGUUGGUGGAGUCUGGAGGGAACAUGAGAAGGCCUGGACAGUCCCUCCAUCUGUCCUGCCAAGGCUCUGGAUUCACCUUCAGCAGCAAGUGGAUGGUUUGGGUGAGACAGGCUUCAGAGAAAGGAUUGGAAUGGAUUUCUUAUAUACAACCAAGUUCAGCUAGUAUUUACUAUUCAGACAAAGUGAAGGGACGCUUCACUGUCUCCAGAGACAAUGUCAAAGGCCAGCUGUAUCUGCAAAUGAACAACCUCAAAUCUGAAGACACAGCAGUCUAUUACUGUUCAGGCACAGUGAAAGGAAGUGCACAUAAAUCUUCCUUUCUUCACAGCAGCUGUUCACGUUGCUUCAGAAAUAGGAAUUUGGAUUCAUAA